GACGAACGCUGGCGGCGUGCCUAAUACAUGCAAGUCGAACGAAGCUUUCUUUCACCGAAUGCUUGCAUUCACCGAAAGAAGCUUAGUGGCGAACGGGUGAGUAACACGUAGGCAACCUGCCCAAAAGAGGGGGAUAACACUUGGAAACAGGUGCUAAUACCGCAUAACCAUGGACAUCGCAUGAUGUUCAUGUAAAAGACGGCUUUUGCUGUCACUUUUGGAUGGACCUGCGGCGUAUUAACUUGUUGGUGGGGUAACGGCCUACCAAGGUGAUGAUACGUAGCCGAACUGAGAGACUGAUCGGCCACAUUGGGACUGAGACACGGCCCAGACUCCUACGGGAGGCAGCAGUAGGGAAUCUUCGGCAAUGGGGGGCAACCCUGACCGAGCAACGCCGCGUGAGUGAAGAAGGUUUUCGGAUCGUAAAGCUCUGUUGUAAGAGAAGAACGGAUGUGGGAGUGGAAAAUCCAUGUCGUGACGGUAUCUUACCAGAAAAGGGACGG
rnacentral:rRNA from 1 species